UGCUCGGGUUAGAUCGUCAGGAAAAGCCUAAAGAUUAGACUGUAAGAAAAGAAAAUAGAAGCCAUGUUUCGAAGACCAGUAUUACAGCUAAUGAAAGCUGGAUUUUGAAAAUACUUGGCAGCAACUCUUAGGUACAGGUACUUCGUCAGUUUGUAAGACAUGAGUCCGAAACAACUACCAGUUUGGUUCUUGAAAGAUCCCUGAAUCGUGUGCACUUACUUGGGCGAGUGGGUCAGGACCCUGUCUUGAGACAGGUGGAAGGAAAAAAUCCAGUCACAAUAUUUUCUCUAGCAACUAAUGAGAUGUGGCGAUCAGGGGACAGUGAAGUUUACCAACUGGGUGAUGUCAGUCAAAAGACAACAUGGCACAGAAUAUCAGUAUUCCGGCCAGGCCUCAGAGACGUGGCAUAUCAAUAUGUGAAAAAGGGGUCUCGAAUUUAUUUGGAAGGGAAAAUAGACUAUGGUGAAUACAUGGAUAAAAAUAAUGUGAGGCGACAAGCAACAACAAUCAUAGCUGAUAAUAUUAUAUUUCUGAGUGACCAGACGAAAGAGAAGGAGUAGAAAGGAUGAUUCUUCUUCGGCCAUCAUUUGGUACAGUCUCAUUUCCAAGUCAUGUAUAAUCUUUAUGGCUUCCAAGGACAAGAAUUAAAAUACUCUUUUACG
rnacentral:sRNA from 1 species